UGGGGAAUAUUGCACAAUGGGCGCAAGCCUGAUGCAGCCAUGCCGCGUGUAUGAAGAAGGCCUUCGGGUUGUAAAGUACUUUCAGCGGGGAGGAAGGGAGUAAAGUUAAUACCUUUGCUCAUUGACGUUACCCGCAGAAGAAGCACCGGCUAACUCCGUGCCAGCAGCCGCGGUAAUACGGAGGGUGCAAGCGUUAAUCGGAAUUACUGGGCGUAAAGCGCACGCAGGCGGUUGAUUGAGUCAGAUGUGAAAUCCCCGGGCUUAACCCGGGAAUUACAUCUGAUACUGGUCAGCUAGAGUCUUGUAGAGGGGGGUAGAAUUCCAUGUGUAGCGGUGAAAUGCGUAGAGAUGUGGAGGAAUACCGGUGGCGAAGGCGGCCCCCUGGACAAAGACUGACGCUCAGGUGCGAAAGCGUGGGGAGCAAACAGG
rnacentral:rRNA from 1 species